GAUGAACGCUGGCGGCGUGCCUAAUACAUGCAAGUCGAGCGAAAACACAAGGAGCUCGCUCCUCUAACGUUAGCGACUGACGGGUGAGUAACGCGUGCAUCACCUACCUCUAAUUCUGGGAUGACUUCGGGAAGCCGCUGCUGAUACUGGCUAAUAUAUCUAACCGCAUGGUUCAAUAGUUCAUGACAGCUUUCGUGUUUCUUUUAGAUGGUUCCGGGCCGGAUUAGCUAGUUGGUAAGGUAACGGCUUACCAAGGCUACGAUGCGUAGCUGACCUGAGAGGAUGAUCGGCCACACUGGAACUGAGACACGGUCCAGACUCCUACGGGAGGCAGCAGUGGGGAAUCUUCCGCAAUGGGCGAAAGCCUGACGGAGCAAUGCCGCGUGAGUGAUGAAGGUCUUCGGGUUGUAAAGCUCUUUUAUUAGGAAAGAACAAAAGUGUAAUAAACUCUCCACGUCCUGACGGUACCUAAUCAGAAAGCCCCGGCUAACUACGUG
rnacentral:rRNA from 1 species